ACAUACAGUGCAAGCUUCUCAAGAAUAACGUAAGUAUAGAAAAGAGGAAAGUGAGAGCUGAGCUAAAGUAGGACAGGUGAGAAAACUAUGACAUUAAUUUACUUGUGAAAAUGCUGGAAGGGCUAUGACGUUGAUUCCGGUGUCACUAUUAGAUUCUUGAGACUCUGGUAUUUGUAACAGAACUGUGCCAACAGGAUGUGGCAAUACCCCUGAACUGCAGCCAUUUACUGGUUCUUUCUUCUUGGUACCACGUGGCUCUCCUUGUUGAGCAGCAUAAACUUGUUGUAUUUGUUCCCGGAGAUCAGGUGGAAGUGCUUCUAAAACAGACUGAUCAAUCUGUAAAAUACCAAACGUGAACCUGAUGCUCAGAAGUGAAGAUUUGAGGAACAACAAAAGUGCAGAUCACCAGCCUUCAAAAAGCCCCCUGCCCAAGCUAUCUUGACAGACACUGCUGUUGAAGCCUGAGGUGACAGAGUCUGAAGAUAAAGUUUACCUGGCAAUGUUAUCACAAAUUCCAUGGCCUCCAAAUUUUGCAGUUUCUACAGGGGCCCCUGGCUUCCGCACCAUUAUUUUCAGAGUAAGACGUCUGCCCUUCAUGCCAGCAGCUUCAAGUCGUCUUUGAAUUUCUUCUGAAAGACUCAGAAGGAAAGCUUCUGCCUCUUUUGGCUACCGAAAGACAAAGAUGGAAGGGAAAAAAAGCCACUUCCAUAUUACUUUCCUUAACUUAAUAGUUCUCAAGUAGCUCAGCUAUGAACAUUGAAUAUCUUAUUUCCCUAUCGUAAGCAUUUAUUUAAAAGACAUUGUGCACACACCUUGAGAUGUAUGCUAAUAUAAAUGCUCAUAUUUUCAA